UCUUAUGAAUGAGCAAAGAAAGUUGUUCCUUCAGAUGGAAUCUACUUCUGGUAAACAUGCUGUGAA
rnacentral:pre_miRNA from 1 species